AUGCAUCUAUUGACAACCUGAGAAGUUAUUGUUUGCCACUAAGAUUUCCACUGCAGAUGCAAGAAAGAAGUGUCCUUGCGUUUCCUGUCUGAUUGUGGCAGCCAACAUUGAAUGGGGGAAUACAGGA
rnacentral:snoRNA from 1 species